GUAUAUAUCUUAGUAUAUACAGCAUUUAUUAGUCGGCUAAAAAACAUGGCAAUUAAUAAGUCACGUUUUUCAGCCGACUAAUCAAUAUUGUAUAUGCUGGGAUAUAUAU
rnacentral:pre_miRNA from 1 species